rnacentral:rRNA from 1 species
AAUAGUUUCUUUGGUGGUGACCUACUACAUGGAUAACCGUAGUAAUUCUAGAGCUAAUACAUGCGUAAAUCUCGACUCACGAAGAGACGUAUUUAUUAGAUAAAGACCGACCUCGUUCUGCGGUGAAUCAUAAUAACUUCACGGACCGCAUGGCUUUAUGCCGGCGGUGUUCCAUUCAAAUUUCUGCCCUAUCAACUUUCGACGGUAGGAUAGAGGCCUACCGUGGUGUUCACGGGUGACGGAGAAUUAGGGUUCGAUUCCGGAGAGGGAGCUUGAGAAACGGCUACCACA